CGGGCCUGGGGCUGCAGGAUCCACAUCUAGCGGGGUUCCAAGGCAGCGGUGACAUCAGGCCUCGUUCUGCUCAUGAUCUCACCCUGCCCUUUUUUCGUCCCUCGCGCCAAUAGCCCUAAACUCUAAGACCCUCUUGUCCUCCUGAGCUCUGCCCUCGGAUGUCCGACCGCCCAGAGCCUGCAUGCGCCGUGGGGCGCCCCAGGACCAGGAGCUGGUGGGUCCGGGGGCCCCUGGGCGGGGGUCCCGGGGCUCCCCUCCUUCCUCGGGACCCGUUGUCCCGGUGUUGGUCUUUCCCCCGGAUCUAGUAUUCAGGGCGGACCAAAGAAGUGGACCCCGGCAGCUGCUGACCCUUUACAACCCCACGGGAACUGCACUUCGCUUCCGAGUUCUGUGUACAGCACCUGCCAAAUAUACGGUAUUCGAUGCAGAAGGAUAUGUGAAGCCUCAGUCCUGCAUUGACAUGUGAGUGGGGAGGUUGGGGAAGCUGCCAGGCAUCACGACUACCUGUUGCCUUUGGCCUGAGAAUCUUUUCAUCUGCUGACUGCAGUCACUCUGGCAAAAGUUUCUGGGGAGGAGAUCUGGAUGCACUUGGUUGGUUGCCUCUCACUUCCUUCCUCCCAAUGGGUCAGUGUGAUACGGCACGUGGCCCCCAUCCCCAGCCACUAUGAUGUCCAGGACCGAUUCCGCAUUGAGCUAUCUGAGGAGGGGGCCGAGGGACGAGUGGUUGGAAGAAAAGAUGUCACCUCUGUUCUCCGGGCCCCAGCGUACCCCCUGGAGCUUCAGGGACAUUCUGAGCCAACCCCCAACCCAGGGCCUCCUUCGUGGACAGGACCAACUCCAGCCAGACAUCUUCAGGAGAACGCCCCGCAGCAGCUGGCCACCAGCUCCUUCCUGCUCUUCUUACUGGCAGGCAUCAUCUCUGUGGCCUUCCUGCUACUGCCACUGCAGGACGAACUUGGCAGCCAGCUGC
rnacentral:lncRNA from 1 species